rnacentral:rRNA from 1 species
AGCCAGACUCCUACGGGAGGCAGCAGUGGGGAAUAUUGCACAAUGGGGGGAACCCUGAUGCAGCGACGCCGCGUGGGCGAGGAAGUAUUUCGGUAUGUAAAGCCCUAUCGGCAGGGAAGAAGAAAUGACGGUACCUGAAGAAGAAGCCCCGGCUAACUACGUGCCAGCAGCCGCGGUAAUACGUAGGGGGCAAGCGUUAUCCGGAUUUACUGGGUGUAAAGGGGGCGCAGACGGCGAUGCAAGCCAGGAGUGAAAGGCCGGGGCCCAACCCCGGGACUGCGCUUGGAACUGCGUGGCUGGAGUGCAGGAGGGGCAGGCGGAAUUCCUGGUGUAGCGGUGAAAUGCGUAGAUAUCAGGAGGAACACCGAUGGCGAAGGCGGCCUGCUGGACUGCAACUGACGUUGAGGCCCGAAAGCGUGGGGAGCAAACAGGAUUAGAUACCCCUGUAAA